rnacentral:rRNA from 1 species
GUCCACGCCGUAAACGAUGGAUACUAGCUGUUGGGAGCGAUCUCAGUGGCUAAGCGAAAGUGAUAAGUAUCCCACCUGGGGAGUACGUUCGCAAGAAUGAAACUCAAAGGAAUUGACGGGGGCCCGCACAAGCGGUGGAGCAUGUGGUUUAAUUCGAUGAUACGCGAGGAACCUUACCAAGGCUUAAAUGUAGGUUGACCGGUUUUGGAAACAGACUUUUCGCAAGACAAUUUACAAGGUGCUGCAUGGUUGUCGU